rnacentral:rRNA from 11 species
AAAGGUCUAAAUACCCUAAUGGCACCAGAUCCUGCCUAAUCCUGGAAGCUAAGCAGGGCCAGCCUUGGUUAGUACUUGGAUGGGAUACCACCAAAGAAUACCUGUAUGAAUACCUGUA